GCCCACUGAAUUUUUAAAUGGCCGCAGUAAUUUGACUGUGCAAAGGUAGCAUAAUCAUUAGUUUUUUAAUUAAAAGCUUGUAUGAAAGGUUGGACGAGGUAAAAUCUGUCUCUAUUUAAUUUAAAGUAGAAUUUAAUUUUUAAGUUAAAAAGCUUAAAUUUUUAUAAAAGACGAGAAGACCCUAUAGAGCUUUAUAAUUUAAUUAAUAUAAUAUAUUAGGAUUUAUUUAAGUUUUAUUAUUUAAAUUAUUUUAUUGGGGUAAUAGGAAGAUUAAAUCAAUUCUUUUUUAGAAUUAACAUUUAUUUAUGGUAUUAAUGAUCCAUUUUUAGUGAUUAUAAGAUUAAGUUACCUUAGGGAUAACAGCGUAAUUUUUUUGGAGAGUUCAUAUCGAUAAAAAAGUUUGCGACCUCGAUGUUGGAUUAAAGAUUAGUUUAGGUGUAGAAGUUUAAAUUUUUGGUCUGUUCGACCAUUAAAUCUUUACAUGAUCUGAGUUCAGCCCGGUGUAAGCCAGGUCGGUUUCUAUCUUUAUUCAAUUUAAAUAUUUUAGUACGAAAGGACCAAAUAUUUGAUAUAUUUAUAUUUAUGUUUUUGAAUAUUAGUAUUAUUUUGGCAGAUUAAUGCAAUAAAUUUAGAAUUUAUAAAUGUAAUUAUAUUACAAAUAAUACUUGUUUUAUAUAGAUUUAUUUUUUUCUUUAAUUUGUAUAUUAUUAUUAUUGAUUUGUGUUUUAGUAGGAGUUGCUUUUUUAACUUUAUUGGAGCGUAAAGUAUUAGGUUAUA
rnacentral:rRNA from 1 species